UGAUUUUUAAAAUUUAUACUACUGCUGCUGUUCAAAACUGUUUUAAUGCAAGAUGUUGAUUACUAAGUUUAAAAGUCCCUUCUUUUUUUUCUAUAAUAUUUCCCAUCACUUUCUCUUAUUUCCCUUCACUAAUAUAUCAAGAACAUAAGACCUUAUUUAAGAAAACUCUACUAUAGCAUCAUUUCCAUGCUUUUUCAAUAAUAUCAAACUUAAAAAUAUAUUGAAAUCUUGAUGUUCUUACCUUGUCCUAUUAGUUUCAACAUUUAACUUGAUUUUCUCUCUCCUCCAG
rnacentral:lncRNA from 1 species